UACGUAGGGAGCGAGCGUUGUCCGGAAUUACUGGGUGUAAAGGGAGCGUAGGCGGGCGAGAGAGUUGAAUGUUAAAUCUACCGGCUUAACUGGUAGCUGCGUUCAAAACUUCUUGUCUUGAGUGAAGUAGAGGCAGGCGGAAUUCCUAGUGUAGCGGUGAAAUGCGUAGAUAUUAGGAGGAACACCAGAGGCGAAGGCAGCCUGCUGGGCUUUAACUGACGCUGAGGCUCGAAAGCGUGGGGAGCAAACAGG
rnacentral:rRNA from 1 species